GGGGCCGACCGGUUUUGACAGGAUGCGUAAUGAUGUAUGUAAGCAUGCAGGCUCGUGGGAUGAGAGCCUUGAAAGAUAGUUCCGAAUCAUACUUGGCGAGUCUAACUACGCCAUGGCUGCUUAAUCUGUCCUAAGGAUAGAUUAGCCUCGUCCCGAUAAGAUCGGGAAAGCCAUCGUCGCUCAGUGCCUCUGAUCUGCCGGUGCUGGUUAAGCGAUGUCGUAAUGCAGAACUGCUCCGUGUGAUGCUAUUAAGCGCGGCUAAGAUCAAUAGAUAAGUCGAAGUUUAGGAUGUUGGUGUCCUUGCUUCUUCCGACAAUGAAAAUCCAACUAAGCAUGUAGAAAGUACCUCCUUAUCUUCUCUGGACGAGAGUUCGAUUCUCUCCGGCUCCACUA
rnacentral:tmRNA from 1 species